rnacentral:rRNA from 1 species
CCUACGGGAGGCAGCAGUGGGGAAUUUUGGACAAUGGGCGCAAGCCUGAUCCAGCCAUUCCGCGUGAGUGAAGAAGGCCUUCGGGUUGUAAAGCUCUUUCGCAAGAGAAGAAAACUUACUUUCUAAUAAAGAGUGAGGUUGACGGUAUCUUGAUAAGAAGCACCGGCUAACUACGUGCCAGCAGCCGCGGUAAUACGUAGGGUGCGAGCGUUAAUCGGAAUUACUGGGCGUAAAGCGUGCGCAGGCUGUUUUGUAAGUCAGAUGUGAAAUCCCCGAGCUCAACUUGGGAACUGCGUUUGAAACUACAAGACUAGAAUAUGUCAGAGGGGGGUAGAAUUCCACGUGUAGCAGUGAAAUGCGUAGAGAUGUGGAGGAAUACCAAUGGCGAAGGCAGCCCCCUGGGAUAAUAUUGACGCUCAUGCACGAAAGCGUGGGGAGCAAACAGGAUUAGAUACCCUGGUAGUCCACGCCCUAAACGAUGUCUACUAGUUGUUGGUGGAGUAAAAUCCAUGAGUAACGCAGCUAACGCGUGAAGUAGACCGCCUGGGGAGUACGGUCGCAAGAUUAAAACGUCAAAUGAAUUGACGG